CCUACGGGAGGCAGCAGUGGGGGAUAUUGCACAAUGGGGGGACCCCUGAUGCAGCGACGCCGCGUGGGUGAAGAAGCGCCUCGGCGCGUAAAGCCCUGUCAGCAGGGAAGAAAAUGACGGUACCUGAAGAAGAAGCCCCGGCUAACUACGUGCCAGCAGCCGCGGUAAUACGUAGGGGGCAAGCGUUAUCCGGCUUUCCUGGGGGGAAAGGGGGCGCAGACGGCGAUGCAAGCCAGGAGUGAAAGCCCGGGGCCCAACCCCGGGACUGCUCUUGGAACUGCGUGGCUGGAGUGCAGGAGGGGCAGGCGGAAUUCCUGGUGUAGCGGUGAAAUGCGUAGAUAUCAGGAGGAACACCGGUGGCGAAGGCGGCCUGCUGGACUGCAACUGACGUUGAGGCCCGAAAGCGUGGGGAGCAAACAGGAUUAGAUACCCGAGUAGUC
rnacentral:rRNA from 1 species